UCCAGCUGUAAUUGCUGCAAUUGUUUGUGGAGGGCAAACAAAUGGACAUAGUCCUCGUGGAAGAUGAAUGACAUGGUACAGGGAAUGACUGAAUACGGUGUGAUAUGACAUAGGAUACAGCUAUGAAAUGAAUCAAAUAUAAGUGGAUUGAUCUGAAGUGAUAGCUGUGGUCUGAUGACUGAGAUAAGCAACUUGCCAAGAAAUUUAUAUAGCAUAAGCUCAUUUUCAUAAAACAAAACAAAAAACUAAACCAAAACCAAAAUAAAACAACCUACUUCUCCAAACCUCAAGCCGUAUCUAUGUUUUAUAAAUAUAGGACAAAAUACAUAAGACUAUACUUGA
rnacentral:lncRNA from 1 species